UCAGGCGUAGUUUAAGUGAAAACGCCUCUUUUACACAGAGGAGAUUUGAGUGCUCUGCGCUUGUA
rnacentral:tRNA from 1 species